rnacentral:misc_RNA from 1 species
UCAAACUUGGUCAUUUAGAGGAAGUAAAAGUCGUAACAAGGUUUCCGUAGGUAAGUAGAAGUUUGCCAUUUACUCACUAUGUUUGAAUAACGUUGCUGACUUUUCUCUUUUAGGUGAACCUGCGGAAGGAUCAUUACAGAGUGUGACCCCCUGUAAAAAGGGGGGUACCUCCCGUCCUUUGCAGGCCCUUUAGGGUCUUUUAGACUUUGCUUCGGUGGGGUAACCCACCGGAACACUCUCAAAAAUUCUGAUUUUAAAAUUGUUCAGUCUGAGAAUUUUGAAAAUAAAAAAAAAACUUUCAACAACGGAUCUCUUGGUUCUGGCAUCGAUGAAGAACGCAGC